AGAGGGAGAGAGGAGAGCUCGGAAUCGUUCCCCAAAGAAGCCUUCAGAAGCAACCCUAGAAGAAAAACCCAGAAAUUCCAGACCGACCUGGAGAGAGAAAAGUGAGAUUUUCACAUACCUGUGGAAAAAAUUAGCCAAAACCUUCAACUAGAGAGUGAAACUUCAUUCAAAGAUCUUUCCAACCAUAGGUCACACGUCCCAAAUGGAGAUUGGGAAGGCCUCCUAAAGCCCCCCGAAACAGUG
rnacentral:lncRNA from 1 species